CAUCACUCUUUUAAAACUAACUGGGACUUAUCUGAUGGCUCCACACGCAGCUGGUGUUGGGUGGAAGCAGUGGUCUCCUGCAGCCUCCUACAUCCCAACUGAUGAUGUUUGGCUCAGUGUCUCGGACAUGGAUGUGAAUAAAUCAUCCCUGUGGUGACAAAGGACUAGAUGCAGAUUUAAAUUGUCACCAGGGUAAAUCUGAAUUUCAAUCAGUUUUACGCACCACCAUAAAUAAAAUUCUUUGCUACCUAAA